rnacentral:tRNA from 1 species
UCCUCGAUGGCGCAAUGGCAGCGCGCGCGGUUGUUACCCGCGAGGUUCCAGGUUCGAGCCCUGGUCGGGGAG